GGCGGCGUGCUUAACACAUGCAAGUCGAACGAUGAAGCCCUUCGGGGUGGAUUAGUGGCGAACGGGUGAGUAACACGUGGGCAAUCUGCCCUUCACUCUGGGACAAGCCCUGGAAACGGGGUCUAAUACCGGAUAUGAGCCCGGGAGGCAUCUUCCCGGGUUGUAAAGCUCCGGCGGUGAAGGAUGAGCCCGCGGCCUAUCAGCUUGUUGGUGAGGUAACGGCUCACCAAGGCGACGACGGGUAGCCGGCCUGAGAGGGCGACCGGCCACACUGGGACUGAGACACGGCCCAGACUCCUACGGGAGGCAGCAGUGGGGAAUAUUGCACAAUGGGCGCAAGCCUGAUGCAGCGACGCCGCGUGAGGGAUGACGGCCUUCGGGUUGUAAACCUCUUUCAGCAGGGAAGAAGCGCAAGUGACGGUACCUGCAGAAGAAGCGCCGGCUAACUACGUGCCAGCAGCCGCGGUAAUACGUAGGGCGCAAGCGUUGUCCGGAAUUAUUGGGCGUAAAGAGCUCGUAGGCGGCUUGUCACGUCGGGUGUGAAAGCCCGGGGCUUAACCCCGGGUCUGCAUUCGAUACGGGCUGGCUAGAGUGUGGUAGGGGAGAUCGGAAUUCCUGGUGUAGCGGUGAAAUGCGCAGAUAUCAGGAGGAACACCGGUGGCGAAGGCGGAUCUCUGGGCCAUUACUGACGCUGAGGAGCGAAAGCGUGGGGAGCGAACAGGAUUAGAUACCCUGGUAGUCCACGCCGUAAACGGUGGGAACUAGGUGUUGGCGACAUUCCACGUCGUCGGUGCCGCAGCUAACGCAUUAAGUUCCCCGCCUGGGGAGUACGGCCGC
rnacentral:rRNA from 1 species